GGAGACUCAUAUUUAAGUAAGGAGAAACAGGAAGUGUCCCUUUUCCCCUCCGCUCUUCCUCCAGCAGCACAAUGUGAUCCACCAGCAAGGAAUGACACCAAUGGAAGGACAGAUGCCAGAGGGUAAAAUCACUGUAUCAAUGGGUGGCUCUUCAUACAUAAUGCGUAAUUAUCCCCCAGAAAUUGUCAAGCAGUUUAUACAUCCAACCCAGAAUCGGCAAGGGAAAUGCAACCACAGGUGAGGCGAAGAAAAACGUCUCAACGGCCAACGCAAGCAGCAAGCAGUGUCUUCAUGCCUGGUGUCCAUUAAGAAUACAUGCUAACUCUAAAGGGCAUUUAUGCUAUCAAAAGCCAAGAUGUCUUCGUGUAUAAAGACUCCUGGUCCUCUAACCUCCACAAGCUCACUAUAGCAGAGCCUUCAUCCAGUAGCUGAUGGAAGCAGAAGCAGACACCCACAGCUAAACACUGAGCUGAACUCCUGGAAUCGAAUUGCAGAGAGGGAGGAAUGGGUAAAGAACAUUAUUGCAAUACUUGUCUCUUCACAACUUGCCUGAACAGAAGAGGACACAGAAAGAUGAAUGAUAUAUCACUGCAUGAUAAAUUGAAUUAAGAGAAGAUCUUUGAGAAACACACAGGAAAAUAAGCUUUCAUCCAGUAGCUGCUGGAAGCAGAAGCAGACAUCCACAGCAAAACAUUGAGCUGAACUCUAAAAUCCAGUUGCAGAGAUGGAGGAGUGACGAGCAAGGCUGGAGAAACCCACAAAAACAGCUGACCAGAACAAGGGGUUGCUCAUGGACCCGAGACUGAUAUAGCUGGGAAACCAGCAUAGGACUGCUCCAGACCCCCUGAAGGGGAAAGCCACUUUGGAGUCUGGACAAUCUAUGGGGCCACUGGCAGUGGAUCAGUAUUUACUCCUAGUACACAAAUGGACUUUGGGAGCCCUCUCCACACAGAAGGAUACUCUCUCAGCCUAGACACACUGGAGAGGAUCUAGGCGCUGCUCCAAAUAUGACAGACUUUUAAGAUCCCCCAUGGUAGGCCUCGCCCUCCCUGGGGAGCAGAAAGGGUUUGGGAAAAAGGGUGGGGGGAGCGGGCAGGGGAAGAGGGGAGGGAGAGGGAACUGAGAUUGACAUGUAGAAGAAGCUUGUUUCUAAUUUAAAUUUAAAAAGAAAAGAAAUAAAAUAAAAUAUAGCAUUCUAAAAAAAGGAAGAAAAAUAAAAAAAAUAAGAAUUGCCAUUGAAGCAUCACUAUGUCCACAAACUAAGAUCAAAAUACACAUUUCUUUUAAAAAGAGCCUUAUUAAACCAGGCAUGGUGGUUUAUGCCUUUAAUCCCAGCGCUGAGGAGGCAAAGGCAAGCAGAUCACUGUGAGUUCAAGACCAGCCUAGUCUACUUGUAAGUUUCAGGGCUUCACAGUAAGAUCCUGUCUCAAAAAGAAGAGAAGAAGGGAAGAAGAAAAGAAGAAAGAAAGAGAGAUAGAGUAUAAAGAAAACGAAAUUAUGUCAGGUAGUGAUAACAUUAUUAAUAAUUCCAUAACAUGAGUAUAAGGAAAGUAUCAAAAUCAGGUAAUGUUCCUAUUAGUCAUGUGUGCAUCUACACACAGGAGUGCAUGCACACAGAGAGAUGCAACAACUAUCAUAAGUUUAAAACAGUGUUCAGACACACUUGCCAAGACAAACCAGCCACAAAAUGCAGCAUCUCACCAGACAUAUACCAUUUGUUGCAUAGGAUUAUCUAUAAAAAGUGAAUUUAAAGCUGAUUGCUAUAUCCAAAAUAUUAACACUGGUUUUAUUUUUUAAGUUAAUAUUUUAUUCAUUUUUUGGGAAGAGGGGUGCAUGGCUCACAUGUGGAAGUCAGAGGACAACUUGUAGACAUCCAUUCUCUCCUUCCACUGCUUGGGUCCAGGGACGGAACUCAAUCAUCGGGUUGUGUGGCAAGUGCCUUUACCUUGUGAGCCACACAUCCCCUCACUGGUUUUGGGAGGAUUGUUUCAGUUACAGAAUUAUGGUGUGAUUCCUUCUUGACUCCCAGAAGCAAAAGCACAUCACCAGUUCACUGAUGACCUUGGGUGCAAGAAGUUGAUAUUAUCCCAGUUCUAUUCCCUCAGUUCUGCUCAAGGGAAAAUGGUACUGAAGUCAAUGACAUUUCAUUUGCCACAGUACCAAGAAGUCAUGUUGAAGGAUGUGUGAGUGGCAUGGUCUGCUGGAUUUGGGGGCCCACUGUAUUCACUGGGGGUCAGCACAGCCUCUCAAGAACUCUUCUGCCCUCUGUGUGGAUAAUGGAACACUGAGACAUGGGAAACUAAAGGCAUAACCUAAAAUCGUCAUCCUUUGAGCCACCUAAAGAUCUCCUCUACUAUUUAGAGUAUUGAGAACCUUGUGAAAUAUAAACUAGCAUAUCCGUGAUGGAGAAUGGUAUGAAGCUUCCUCAAAAACAAAACAAAAACUACUACCAUUACACCAAAAAAAGUGCAAUGAUAUGUGUGUAUAAAAUAUUCAUUACCUAUAUGCUAACUAAAAAUAUUUAGUAAAGAGGGAAGAAAGAACUCUCAUGUGAUUCAAUACUGGGUAUGUAUUGAAAAGAAAUUAAAUCCAUAUAAUGAAAAGAUAUAUGAACUCCCAUGUUUACUAAAACACUAUCAGACUAUCAGUCAUGGCCAAUAUGUAGAACGAACAAAAUAGUCUAUAAAUGGAUGAAUGGAUAAAGAAAUUCUGUUAUACAUAUGAAAUGGAAUAUUACUCAGCAGUAUAAAAGGAUGAAACCCUGGCAUUUGGAUGGAACAUUAUGUUUAGUGUAAUAUGAAGAGAACAAAAAAUACCAUGUAUUCUCUUUCAUAUGCAGAAGCUUAUGGAAUUGAUUUCCUGACAUUGGAAACUAUAACAAUGGUUACUAGAGGCUAAGAUGAGCAAGGAACAAGGAGGAUAUCGGGACAUUGCACGAAAAUAAGUAAUAAAAAAAAAAGUACCAAUGUUCUGUGUAUUGCAAUGAGAAUACAAAAAAUACCACUUAUAUAUUCUAUAAGGAAAUAGAAAAGAGAAGGGUCACACUCACAUACAAAGAUGUUUUUAAAAUGAAAUGUUAAUUAACCUGAUCUGAUAUCAUAUACAC
ensembl:lncRNA